AGUGAACGCUGGCGGCGUGCCUAACACAUGCAAGUCGAACGAUGAUGGAGAGCUUGCUCUCCUGAUUAGCGGCGCACGGGUGAGUAUACCAUAGAUAAUGUACCUCUUAGUUCGGGAUAGCCACUGGAAACGGUGAUUAAUACCGGAUACUCCUUCUUAUCUUAAGGCAAGUCGGGAAAGUUUGUUCGCUAAGAGAUCAGUCUAUGUCCUAUCAGCUAGUUGGUGAGGUAAUGGCUCACCAAGGCAAUGACGGGUAUCUGGUUUGAGAGGAUGAGCAGACACACUGGAACUGAGACACGGUCCGGACUCCUGCGGGAGGCAGCAGUGAGGAAUGUUGCGCAAUGGAGGGAACGCAGAUGCAGCAGCGCCGCGUGGAGGAUGACGCAUUUCGAUGUGUAAACUCCUUUUAAGAGGGAAGAUAAUGACGGUACCUCUUGAAUAAGCACCGGCUAACUCCGUGCCAGCCGCCGCCGUAA
rnacentral:rRNA from 1 species